rnacentral:lncRNA from 1 species
UCACCCCUUAGGGAGUUUACAUUUAUUCAAUUUGCAAUAAUUCGUCUGUUUGCUGUGUCCAUCACUUCAAAGUGACAAUGCGACAGUGAAAAAGGCAUUUGUUAAAUGAUGGUUUAGCGAAUGGUUGCUAUCGCAGACACAACAUCCAAGGGAAAAAAAGGCAACAAACAAAACAAAAUAGUUUACAAAAGGAAAAGACCAUUAUUAACACGUGACAGAGUAUCAAAGAUCUUCAACACAACAAAUGGAAAUGUUUACUCGGCAAUUCUGCUGAGAAACACACAAAGCAAUGAUACAGCAAGUAAACACGAUCUAGAAACAGAACAGAAAGAAAUAAAAGGCUACACUUGGCAUCUCUUCAAAAGCAUGACAAACUCACCACUUGUAUUGUUCCUGUCUUUGGAACAUGGUAACCUUUCAUGCCAAGGUUAAUAUGACCC